GUGGGGAAUCUUCCGCAAUGGACGAAAGUCUGACGGAGCAACGCCGCGUGAGUGAAGAAGGUUUUCGGAUCGUAAAGCUCUUUCGUUAGGGACGAACGUGCUCUUUGUGAAUAAUGAGGAGUAAUGACGGUACCUAAAUAAGAAGCCACGGCUAACUACGUGCCAGCAGCCGCGGUAAUACGUAGGUGGCAAGCGUUGUCCGGAAUUAUUGGGCGUAAAGCGCGCGCAGGCGGGAUAUCAAGUCUGUCUUAAAAGUGCGAGGCUCAACAGAGUGAGGGGACAGAAACUGGUAUUCUUGAGUGUCGGAGAGGAAAGUGGAAUUCCAAGUGUAGCGGUGAAAUGCGUAGAGAUUUGGAAGAACACCAGUGGCGAAGGCGACUUUCUGGACGAUGUCUGACGCUGAGGCGCGAAAGCUAGGGGAGCGAACGGGAUUAGAAACCCUAGUAGUCC
rnacentral:rRNA from 1 species